rnacentral:rRNA from 1 species
CGUAACACGUAAGCAACCUGCCCGAAAGACCGGGACAACGUUUCGAAAGAGGCGCUAAUACCGGAUGUGACCAGCGGAUGACAUCUUCUGCUGAUUAAAUCAUUUAUGGCUUUCGGAGGGGCUUGCGGCCUAUCAGCUAGAUGGUGGGGUAACGGCCUACCAUGGCGACGACGGGUAGCUGGUCUGAGAGGAUGGUCAGCCGGAUUGGGACUGAGAUACGGCCCAG